UACGUAGGGUGCAGGCGUUAAUCGGAAUUACUGGGCGUAAAGCGUGCGUAGACGGUUAUGUAAGUCAGGUGUGAAAGCCCCGGGCUCAACCUGGGAAUUGCAUUUGAGACUGCAUAGCUAGGGUGCGGAAGAGGGAAGCGGAAUUUCCGGUGUAGCGGUGAAAUGCGUAGAUAUCGGAAGGAACAUCAGUGGCGAAAGCGGCUUCCUGGUCCAGCACCGACGUUCAGGCACGAAAGCGUGGGGAGCAAACAGG
rnacentral:rRNA from 1 species